ACCUACUUCAGCAUCCCGUGAAUCGACAAUGACCCUUCGAUCCAUCGGUCCAGUGGCGCUGUGCAUAAAACCCCUCACAACUCUCUCUCUCUGUACGCUUCUAGUCUCCAUUGUAUGUAUACACUGUUUUGUUUUCUGCUGUGAACAAGAAAGAAGAGAUAAUCCAUUCCACCACAACCGUCUGAAGGCAAUACAAUUAUCUUUUGUUUAGAAAAGCUCCAUGCACUUGAAGGUUUAUUGGGACUUGAUAUCUUGCUUUUUGAAGUAUGUUGGUCUGCAAUGUCAUUUUAUUUCCGUCGAAGAGAUUAGAUCCAGAAAGCUCAUACUAGCAAGUGGAUUAGACUACUUUCAUAUACACGUUAGUUACUCUUUACUCUCUUUACUCAUUAUUGUGAUGAUCUUUAUAUAAUAUGCAACCUUCAACCUUCAAAUGUUUGAAAAUAUGAAGCGACAUUCAACAUUCUCAUAAACGCAACAACUUCAUUUGAAGAUUGUGCUUUGUUGUAAAACCUUGGAUAUUUUUAUCGAAUCAUAAAUGUCAAACCCUGAUUUCCCAGUGGUUUUGGAUUUGAGGUUUAUACGUGACAAAUUGAUAUAGAUAUUCACUAUUAACACAACGAAGUUUAGGGGAUGUGACUUUUACCUGGACGAGCCACAGUCCUUAAACUGCGUUUAUUUCAUGUUGGUGUCUGUGUCUACUGAACAAU